rnacentral:rRNA from 1 species
UACGAAGGGGGCUAGCGUUGUCCGGAUUUACUGGGCGUAAAGCGCGUGUAGGCGGCUCGAUAAGUCCGGUGUGAAACCUUGGGGCUCAACCCCAAGCCUGCACUGGAUACUGCCGAGCUAGAGUCCGGGAGGGGAGAGCGGAAUUCCUAGUGUAGCGGUGAAAUGCGCAGAUAUUAGGAAGAACACCGGUGGCGAAGGCGGCUCUCUGGAACGGUACUGACGCUGAGACGCGAAAGCGUGGGGAGCGAACAGG